rnacentral:rRNA from 1 species
AGAGGGGGACCUUCGGGCCUCUUGCCAUCGGAUGUGCCCAGAUGGGAUUAGCUAGUAGGUGGGGUAACGGCUCACCUAGGCGACGAUCCCUAGCUGGUCUGAGAGGAUGACCAGCCACACUGGAACUGAGACACGGUCCAGACUCCUACGGGAGGCAGCAGUGGGGAAUAUUGCACAAUGGGCGCAAGCCUGAUGCAGCCAUGCCGCGUGUAUGAAGAAGGCCUUCGGGUUGUAAA